UAGCAAUAAUUAGUCGUGUCAAGAUGACCACUCAAACGACAAUGUGAUUUCAAUGAGAAAAAGUGGAGGAAUAAACUAUAAUUAUUUGGACAGUCAUUCAAUCAGAUUUUCUUUGCCUUGUCACAUUUUAAAUGAUUAAUGAAGUUUCAUGCGGGUGUCUGCUGAAGAACAGAGACCAGACAGGAGGCAUUAAAAAUUAAACAAGAGAAGAGUCGAUCAGCUUCCAAUC
rnacentral:lncRNA from 1 species